rnacentral:tRNA from 1 species
GCGAGAGUAGUUCAGUGGUAGAACACCACCUUGCCAAGGUGGGGGUCGCGGGUUCGAAUCCCGUCUCUCGCUCCA